AGGGCGCAAGGGGGAUGCCUUGGCAUUGGUAGCCGAUGAAGGACGUAGCGAUCUACGAUAAGCCACGGGAAGUCGAAAGCAGGCAAUGAUCCGUGGAUUUCCGAAUGGGGAAACCCGGCAGAGCAAUACUCUGUCAACUCCUUGUGAAUAAAAUAGCAUUGAGUAGGGAACCUCCUGAACUGAAACAUCUAAGUAGGGAGAGGAAAAGAAAUCAACCGAGAUUCCGCUAGUAGUGGCGAGCGAACGCGGAAGAGGCCAAACCAAGAGUAGUAAUACUUUUGGGGUUCGGACUGAGCACGGUAUUGACAAGAGUUAGUAGAAUGGAAUGGGAAGUUCAACCAUAGAGUGUGAGAGUCACGUAUACGAAAACUUGAGUCAGCCAUCAGUAUCCAGAGUACCGCCGGACACGUGAAACCCGGUGGGAAUACGGGGGGACCACCCUCCAAGCCUAAAUACUCACCAAUGACCGAUAGUGUAUAGUACUGUGAAGGAAAGGUGAAAAGAACCCCUGGCGGGGAGUGAAAAAGAACCUGAAACCUUGUGCCUACAAGCACAUAGAGCACAUCAACGUGUGAUAUGGUACCUUUUGUAGAAUGGUCCGGCGAGUGAAUGUCACUAGCGAGGUUAAGAACUUAAGGUUUGCAGCCGAAGCGAAAGCGAGUCUUAAUAGGGCGAUUUAGUUAGUGGUAUUCGACCCGAAACCGAGUGACCUAGCCAUGAGCAGGCUGAAGUGGAGGUAAAACUCCAUGGAGGGCCGAACCCACUCCCGUUGAAAUGGUAGGGGAUGACUUGUGGCUAGCGGAGAAAUUCCAAUCGAACUCGGAGAUAGCUGGUUCUCUCCGAAAUAGCUUUAGGGCUAGCCUCAAUUAACAUUACCGCAGGUAAAGCACUGAAUGGGCUAGGGGGCGAAAGCUUACUGAACCCUAUCAAACUCAGAAUGGCGGAUAAUGAAUAAUUGGGAGUCACACUACGUGAGAUAAGUUUCGUGGUGGAAAGGGAAACAGCCCAGACCCACAGCUAAGGUCCCAAAGUACAGUUAAGUGGAAAAGGAUGUGAAGUUGCGCAGACAACCAGGAUGUUGGCUCAGAAGCAGCCACUCAUUCAAAGAGUGCGUAAUAGCUCACUGGUCGAGUGAUUUUGCGCCGAAAAUUUAACGGGGCUAAACUGUACACCGAAGCUUGGGAAUAUACCUUAUGGUAUGUUGGUAGGAGAGCGUCGUAUGCGGGGUGAAGUCGUAGCGAAAGCGGCGGUGGACUGCAUAGGAGUGAGAAUGCCGGAAUGAGUAGCGAGAAUUAUGUGAGAAUCAUAAUGGCCGAAAGACUAAGGUUUUAGAAGGAAGGUUCGUCCGCUUCUAGUUAGCCGGGAGCUAAGGCGAGGCCGAAAGGCGUAGUCGAUGCACAUACGGUUGAGAUUCCGUAGCCACCUUAAAUUUAAACUAAGGGACACAUUGAAAGGGAAUAACCCAGGCGUUGGUUGACCUGGGCGUAAGGGAACGAAAAUAAGUAGUGAAGUAUUCUUGGACAGUGGCGAGAAAAGCUUAGUGUAUAUUAUUAGGGUGCCCGUACUGCAAACCGACACAGGUAGUCAGGAAGAGAAUUCUAAGGCCAUCGGGAGAAGCGUUGUUAAGGAACUCGGCAAAUUGACCCCGUAACUUCGGAAUAAGGGGUGCUCACGAGAGUGAGCCGCAGUGAAUAGGUCCAGGCAACUGUUUAUCAAAAACACAGCUCUCUGCUAAAUCGUAAGAUGACGUAUAGGGGGUGACACCUGCCCGGUGCUGGAAGGUUAAGAGGAGGAGUGCAAGCCCCGAAUCGAAGCCCCAGUAAACGGCGGCCGUAACUAUAACGGUCCUAAGGUAGCGAAAUUCCUUGUCGGGUAAGUUCCGACCCGCACGAAUGGUGUAAUGAUCUGGACACUGUCUCAACAACGCACCCGGCGAAAUUGUAGUACCGGUGAAGAUGCCGGUUACCCGCGGCAAGACGGAAAGACCCCAUGGAGCUUUACUGUAACUUAAUAUUGGGUCUCGGUACUUUAUGUACAGGAUAGGCGGGAGACUUGGAAACUAGCACGCCAGUGUUAGCGGAGUCAUCCUUGGGAUACCGCUCUUAAGGUAUUGAGAUUCUAACCUGCAGCCUUGAAUCAGGUUGGGGGACAUUGUUAGGUGGGCAGUUUGACUGGGGCGGUCGCCUCCAAAAGAGUAACGGAGGCGCUCAAAGGUUCGCUCAGCAUGGAUGGAAACCAUGCUAUUGAGUGUAAACGCAAAAGCGAGCCUAACUGCGAGACUGACGGGUCGAGCAGUAACGAAAGUUGGAGUUAG
rnacentral:rRNA from 1 species